rnacentral:lncRNA from 1 species
UUGUGACUAUACUAAAUGGAUAUGGAAGGAGAUUCUCCAGCGAUUCGAACUCAAUAGAAUGCCGCAACCAAACUUGCAUCAAGAAUUAGCUGACCUCAUGCAAUGUUUUUCAAUAAAAGGGCCUCUUACACAAUUGACAAAGGUUAUAUUCAGAUGCGCUAUUUGGUGGAUGUGGAAGGAAAGAUGUAGCAGAAUCUUUGAGUGUCAACACACAAACAAUGCUCAGCUCUUGACAGAGAUUAUUAGAGACUCAAGAUCAUGUAU